CUUCAGCUGACGAGUCCAGAAUAGAGCGAAACGCCCGUCCUGUAU
rnacentral:hammerhead_ribozyme from 1 species